rnacentral:snoRNA from 1 species
ACCUUCCAGAUUCCUCACCCUUCAGACCUAACUAUUGAUCUGAGGGGCUCCAAAGGGGAGAGAAAGUAAAAUUGAAGUGAAUGUGGUGUCUUUAGCGAUAUACAAGGUCGUUUCAACAUGU